GAGAGGGAGGCAGGGAUGAGAGCAAGAUUUCACACAUCAAUUGUCUUUUGUGUAGCGAUGGCUCUUGCUUGGCUUAUUUGCUGCACUUGCAGAGAAAUCAUCGGGGAGCAGCAGCAGGAGGAGAAACUAGCAGACGCGGACCUGGGCAGCCUGGACAUCCUUCUAAGCACAGAUUAACAGUCCUCAGCUUUCUGCCUUCCACAUAACUGGCUGACCAAGAGAAAAAAAGUGGAGGGUCAGCGUCGGCUCACCUCGUGUUACGGAAAGCGAGUGAGAGCGACGAGAUCGCAAGCAUUUUGGAUGCCAGGCAAGAGCCGUCCAGCUGGGAGCAGAGCAGCCGCCACUGUCAAUGAGAUAAGUAUCUGUUUUGGUGAUUGCUCUGCUCACUGCCCACCUGAAUCCAGAUACAAACGCCCCAUUAGCUGGGACUGGGUUUGUAACAAAAUAUUCGUGACUAGGUGUGGUUCUGAAGGAGACAAGGUCCCCAUUUUCAGGGGCUGCUCAUUUCUCUGCUUACAAGCGAUGUGUCCUCUGCAGAAAAGGUAGGUUCCAGGUGGCGAGUAACUUGUCUUCCUCCUGUGUUUUUCUCUCUCUCUCUCUUCUCUAGUGUUGGCCAACACACUCUGUCAGUCUGUCCUUGCCUCUUUUUCUGCUGUUUCACUUCAUUGCACACAGGCAGGUGAGCUAGCUGUGUGUCCCCAGAGGCCAGGUCUUGGGGAAGUAUGGCAAAGUAGGAGAGCAAGAAAAUGCAGGGGAGUGAGUGUGAGUGGAGCAGUGACUGUUGCUGUUAACUCGGUCUCUGUUCAUCAAGUGGGGCCAAUGCAGACGGAAUGGAAGAGGGAGGCAGGAUUGAGGGCAAGAUUUCAAGCACCGUUAGAGCUCUGUGUAGUGAUGGCUCAUGAUUGGUUUUUGCAGCUGUUGUGGCAGAGGAAUUGUCCAGGAGCCCUAGCUGGAGAAGGAAGAGACAGAAGUGGACCAGAGCAGCUUGGACAUCCUUUUAAGCAGACACGAACAGUCCUCAGCUUUGUCUCUUGCAUAAUUGGCUGUCAGUAAGCGUACCAAGUGAAAAGAAGUCAGUUUACGGCCCUCAUGCGUUGGAAAGCGAGCGAGAGCAACGAGACCUCGAGCAUUGUUCAUGCCAGGCAAGAGCCGUCCAUCUGGGAGCGGAACAGCUGCCACUGUCACUGAGAUAAGUGUCUGUUUUUUGCUGAGGGUUCUGCUCACGGCCCACCUGGCUCCAGGUAGGGACACCCCAUCAGCUGGGGCUGGAUUUAUAAGAAAAUGUUCCUCACUAGCUUUGGUUAUGAGGGAGACAAGGUCCUCAUUUCUGUGUCCAGUAGCUGUGUUCCCUCCUCAGCAGAAGAUUGGAUCCAGGAGGAUGACACCAGGUGGUGAGUUGCUUGCCUUGCUCCCAUGAUUCUCUCUCUCGCUCCCUUCUCUAGUGUUGGCCAACACUUUCUUUCUCUCUCUCCUUCUGCUGUCUCCCUUCAUAGCACACAGGCAGGGGUGCUAGGUGUGCAUCCCCACAGGCUAGGUCUCCUGGAUCCAUGAAGUAAGAGGGGACGAGAAUCAUGCUGGAGUGGUGACUAUCGGUGUUAACUGCAUCUCUGUUCAUCAAGUAGGGCGGAUGUAGAUGGAAUGGGAGAGGGAGGCAGGGAUGAGGGCAUUCAUAGAGCUCUGUGUAGUGGUUGUUCUUGGUUGGCUUUGUUAGUUUACAGAGGAAUCGUCCAAGAGCCUUAGCCGGAAGAGAGGGUGGCAGAAGUGAAGCUGAGCUGCCUGAACAUCCUUCUAAGGAGACAUGAACAGUCCUCAGAUUUCUGAAUUCUGCACAACUGUCUGUGAG